UAGGGAAUCUUCCACAAUGGGCGAAAGCCUGAUGGAGCAACGCCGCGUGAGUGAAGAAGGGUUUCGGCUCGUAAAGCUCUGUUGUUAAAGAAGAACACGUAUGAGAGUAACUGUUCAUACGUUGACGGUAUUUAACCAGAAAGCCACGGCUAACUACGUGCCAG
rnacentral:rRNA from 1 species